GUGCUCACUUUGGCAGCACAUAUACUAAAAUUUAAAUAACGCAAAGAAGAUUAGCAUACCCUCUGCACAAGGAUGACACAGAAAUUUGUGAAACAUUUUACUCACAA
rnacentral:snRNA from 1 species